ncrna:unclassified sequences RT-17 RNA
GGCCUUGCCUCAUGGCAAAACAUACACUUUAGCAGAAUAGCAAGUAGAUGAUGGCAAUGGGUCAUCCGGUCGAAAGUUAGGACAUUAGAAAAGCAGACAA